GGGGCAUGCUCAUGGGUUAAAUUCACUUGUUUGUUUUUCCUUUUUUGGGGGGCCGCAUUCGAGAGACAUGGAAGGUCCCUGGGCCAGGGAUUGAAUCAGAGCCGCAUGGGCGACCUACGCCACAGCUGAGGUAACACGGGACCCUUAACCCACUGCAGCACAGCGGGAACUCCCUGCUGCACGUCUCUGAGCCACACUGUCUUCCUUGAGGAGGCGCUGCUGAGGGUGACGGAGACCCCCCUACUGGAGGUGCCACUGAGGUGUGGCAGGGAGGGGGCAUCCAUCCAUCUGUCCCCAGGCCUCGGACCCUGGUGCCUGAGAGACACGGAUGCUGCAAGACUCCAUCUCCAGCACCACCACUGCUGCGCUCAGACCCUGGGGCUCUGUCAGGAGUCUGCCCUGCACGGCUUUUAUCAAAACAUCCAAAACUAGGCCAGAGACAAGGCCAGGGAACCUGCAGCCCUCGGGCCACUCCAGGCCGCCUACCAGGUUCCGGCAGAGCUGCCGGGCGGGAAGUGGACCCCGCGGGCACUUUCGAGCCUCUGCACCCCAGCGUCCCUUCUGCUGCCGAAAGAGUUCUCCACAGAGCGCUGCUGGAGUCCGGGAGCCUGGAGUCCGUGAACCUGGACGAGAAAACAGUCACAUCCAUAUCGGCACCAACUAAAUUCAGCAUCGCCCUGCCUUGUGAAUGUGAGCAGCAAAACCCAGUGAGGUCUGUGGUUUUGCCACCAAUGUUAUCAACCACAAACCCCACUGGGUUUCCGAGCGUCCUACCUUUAUUGCAGAAAUUUCAGGACGGCAUUUGGACUCAAAUCACGGUAGUUCUUAAAUCCGCUACUAGAUAUUCUUUUAAAUGUGCUAGGAAGAAGUAGGAGUUCCCCGGUGGCCUAGCUGGUUAGGAAUCCUGCAUUAUCACUGCUGUAGCUGGGUUAGAUUCCUGGCCUGGGAGUGUCUGCAGGCUGCUGGCCAAAAAAAAAAAGAAGAAGAAGGAGAAAAGGAAGAGGAAGAGGAAGAAAAGAAGAAGAGGCAUGUAUAUUAAACAAUAGUUUGACAAAUUUCAGUGCAUUUGGCUUCCUUUAUAAUCCUACGUAUUUUGCUAUUUUGCAUUGUGCAUUUAAAAACAUGAUCCUGGAGUUCCCGUCGUGGCGCAGUGGUUGACGGGUCCGACUAGGAACCAUGAGGUUGCGGGUUCGGUCCCUGCCCUUGCUCAGUGGGUUGGCGAUCCGGCGUUCCCGACAGUGACCCAAGCCACCGCAGUGAAAAUGCUGGAUCCUUAACCUGCUGCACC
rnacentral:lncRNA from 1 species